rnacentral:lncRNA from 1 species
CUGGAACCAAACCUGGACUCUGGCCUCGGUGAGCUCUGUCCUCAGAGCUAGCUGCUCCCUCACGUAGACAUCAGGGUAAUGAGUUUUCUGGAAGACUUUCUCCAGUUCCUCCAGCUGCAAACUGGUGAAAGUUGUUCUGUGUCUCCUCUUCUUACUGCUGGAGACAUUGCUGUCACACUUAUCACCCAGUUCAUCCAGUUCCCCCUUCUCCU